AUUAGCUAGUUGGUAAGGUAACGGCUUACCAAGGCAACGAUGCAUAGCCGACCUGAGAGGGUGAUCGGCCACACUGGAACUGAGACACGGUCCAGACUCCUACGGGAGGCAGCAGUAGGGAAUCUUCCGCAAUGGGCGAAAGCCUGACGGAGCAACGCCGCGUGAGUGAUGAAGGUCUUCGGAUCGUAAAACUCUGUUAUUAGGGAAGAACAUAUGUGUAAGUAACUGUGCACAUCUUGACGGUACCUAAUCAGAAAGCCACGGCUAACUACGUGCCAGCAGCCGCGGUAAUACGUAGGUGGCAAGCGUUAUCCGGAAUUAUUGGGCGUAAAGCGCGCGUAGGCGGUUUUUUAAGUCUGAUGUGAAAGCCCACGGCUCAACCGUGGAGGGUCAUUGGAAACUGGAAAACUUGAGUGCAGAAGAGGAAAGUGGAAUUCCAUGUGUAGCGGUGAAAUGCGCAGAGAUAUGGAGGAACACCGGUGGGCGAAAGCGACUUUUCUGGGCUGUAACUGACGCUGAUGUGCGAAAGCGUGGUGGAUCAAACAGGAUUAGAUACCCUGGUAGUCCACGCCGUAAACGAUGAGUGCUAAGUGUUAGGGGGGUUUCCGCCUCUUAGUGCUGCAGCUAACGCAUUAAGCACUCCGCCUGGGGAGUACGACCGCAAGGUUGAACUCAAAGGAAUUGACGGGGACCCGCACAAGCGGUGGAGCAUGUGGUUUAAUUCGAAGCAACGCGAAGAACCUUACAAUCUUGACAUCCGUUUGACACUCUAGAGAUAGAGCCUUCUCCUUCGGGGCACAAAAGUGACAAGGGGUGCAUGGUUGUCGUCAGCUCGUGUCGUGAGAUGUUGGGUUAAGUCCCGCAACGAGCGCAACCCUUAAGCUUAGUUGC
rnacentral:rRNA from 1 species